GCGGGCGGAGAUGACAGUGGUGGAGAGCACGGUGCUGCCCAGAGCUUGAUGAAUGCGGGCCCGGGCAGGAUCAGAAGCCAGACAGGUUUUUCCCCACCUUCGGAACGUGAACAAGUGGGGGAGACUCUGCUUGACUCCUCGAGCCAGUCCGUGGUCAUUCCGACGCGGCCCUUUUCGUGGCUGAAGAGCUGCCGGAGCCGAUUUUCCUUUUACCGCUUCCAGUAGUUACUGUGAACAAUGUGAUCCUUGAAUGGAUGAGUGAUGCAAAAAAAUUAUGUAAUCCACCGAAAGUGCAGAUUGUUAUUGAAUAAGGAUUUCAGGAACACCAUUCUGUUGCUACCAAAGAGGGGGGGGGAAAGAGCCCCAUGCCUCUGAUACUGCUGCUUCCCGUAGGAAUAUGGGCAAACCCGCCAAGGCAGCCUCUGUGCCUGGAAAGACCCACCAAGCAGACGAGGAUCCUCCUCCCCAUCAUCCCUGACUAGAUUUGCUUGUCCCAGAGGCCCAGGAAGACACUGGAGGAUGACAGGAAAGACCCCUCAAAGGUAUCAGUCUUUCCCUUAGUACUUGCGAAGCAUCCGACCUUGACUAGAAUUAAUAAGUUCCUAAAACAAGACUUACUUCCUCCCAGGAAUGGGACAGAAACAGAAAACUUGAAGUGCAAACAUAUUUCAGAGCCCCAAUCAGAAGAAAGAUUACUUAACAAUAUAAGGUAGUCACUGCCCUUCUAGAAGAUUAAAGUCCAUUGGGCAGGGUAGGUGGGGAGACUAAUAAGACGGGGACUCUGAACAAGUGGUUGGAGAAGAAGCACAACCCGGGUUCCAGUCUAAGAACCCAUCAUGGCUCACGUCUGAAGACAUCGGGAGAAUCUAUUUAUUCUAAAAUGUCUCCCAAUGUCUCUGUGAGCACGAGAAGGAAUCCGCCCGGGCCCCCCCCGCUACUAAGAUGCUAUAAAAAGUGCUUUUUGUUUGAUAUUUCAGAAAACCUUCCCUUUCUUCCCUCUUUCCGCUCCCGUGUUGCUUUACCUGGCUGGGUUUACAUGAAUCUUGGCAGCAC
rnacentral:misc_RNA from 1 species